GAUGAACGCUGGCGGCGUGCCUAAUACAUGCAAGUCGAGCGAACAGACAAGGAGCUUGCUCCUUUGACGUUAGCGGCGGACGGGUGAGUAACACGUGGGUAACCUACCUAUAAGACUGGGAUAACUUCGGGAAACCGGAGCUAAUACCGGAUAAUAUUUCGAACCGCAUGGUUCGAUAGUGAAAGAUGGUUUUGCUAUCACUUAUAGAUGGACCCGCGCCGUAUUAGCUAGUUGGUAAGGUAACGGCCUACCAAGGCGACGAUACGUAGCCGACCUGAGAGGGUGAUCGGCCACACUGGAACUGAGACACGGUCCAGACUCCUACGGGAGGCAGCAGUAGGGAAUCUUCCGCAAUGGGCGAAAGCCUGACGGAGCAACGCCGCGUGAGUGAUGAAGGUCUUCGGAUCGUAAAACUCUGUUAUUAGGGAAGAACAUACGUGUAAGUAACUAUGCACGUCUUGACGGUACCUAAUCAGAAAGCCACGGCUAACUACGUGCCAGCAGCCGCGGUAAUACGUAGGUGGCAAGCGUUAUCCGGAAUUAUUGGGCGUAAAGCGCGCGUAGGCGGUUUUUUAAGUCUGAUGUGAAAGCCCACGGCUCAACCGUGGAGGGUCAUUGGAAACUGUAAAACUUGAGUGCAGAAGAGGAAAGUGGAAUUCCAUGUGUAGCGGUGAAAUGCGCAGAGAUAUGGAGGAACACCAGUGGCGAAGGCGACUUUCUGGUCUGUAACUGACGCUGAUGUGCGAAAGCGUGGGGAUCAAACAGGAUUAGAUACCCUGGUAGUCCACGCCGUAAACGAUGAGUGCUAAGUGUUAGGGGGUUUCCGCCCCUUAGUGCUGCAGCUAACGCAUUAAGCACUCCGCCUGGGGAGUACGACCGCAAGGUUGAAACUCAAAGGAAUUGACGGGGACCCGCACAAGCGGUGGAGCAUGUGGUUUAAUUCGAAGCAACGCGAAGAACCUUACCAAAUCUUGACAUCCUUUGACAACUCUAGAGAUAGAGCCUUCCCCUUCGGGGGACAAAGUGACAGGUGGUGCAUGGUUGUCGUCAGCUCGUGUCGUGAGAUGUUGGGUUAAGUCCCGCAACGAGCGCAACCCUUAAGCUUAGUUGCCAUCAUUAAGUUGGGCACUCUAAGUUGACUGCCGGUGACAAACCGGAGGAAGGUGGGGAUGACGUCAAAUCAUCAUGCCCCUUAUGAUUUGGGCUACACACGUGCUACAAUGGACAAUACAAAGGGCAGCGAAACCGCGAGGUCAAGCAAAUCCCAUAAAGUUGUUCUCAGUUCGGAUUGUAGUCUGCAACUCGACUACAUGAAGCUGGAAUCGCUAGUAAUCGUAGAUCAGCAUGCUACGGUGAAUACGUUCCCGGGUCU
rnacentral:rRNA from 1 species